rnacentral:lncRNA from 1 species
AUAUGGUGUUAUCAUAUGGUGUAAUGAUAUAGUGUUAUCAAAGGGUGUUAUGAUGCGGUGUUAUCAUAUGGUGUAAUAAUAUGCUGUUAUCAUAUGCUGUUAUCAUAUGCUGUUAUCAUAGGGUGUAAUAAUAUGGUGUUAUCAUAUGCUGUUAUCAUAUGGUGUUAUCAUAGGGUGUAAUAAUAUGGUGUUAUCAUAUGCUGUUAUCAUAUGCUGUUAUCAUAUGGUGUUAUCAUAUGGUGUUAUCAUAUGGUAUUAUGAUGAUAUUAAUAAGCAGUGUUAAUAAGGACAAAACAGACCUCGUCGACAAACGGUUGAAAGCAGAUGGCUGUGUUAAUUUUCUGGUAAUUUUCAGACGAUUCUCCAUGUUGAAUCACCAGCUUUUAUCGCCACCCAGAUCUGCACAGCCGCCGUCCGUUAUGUUGUGUAUUGUCCUUCAGGAUGACAUUUCAUCUGAGGAUCUGGAGUCGUGAGAUAUAAAUAAGAUAUAAAUAUAAAACAUCCUCUCUUUCUCUUCUACUCUCAAAUAGAUGUAUUGGCUAGAAAUAUGGUUUUAACAUUGUAUUUUAUAAUAACAAGCUUAUAAAGGCUCUUUCUUUAAAAAAAAACUAUUAUUGAGGAGACCAGGUUGUCCAAAUGUCUUUUCUUUAAUUCUACAUUUAUAGAUUCCCAUUCCAAAGUGCCUGUUGGUCACCAUACGACAGAAGGCUCCUAGAUGUAUCUAUUUGCUUUAUUUCUGCAAAGAACGUGAGGAGUGGAAUAGGUUCCUUUCAAAUAAUGUUUUUUUCUGAAAUGAUUCCAAAAUGUCUGCCAAUAAAAAGGACAAAAUCUAGAAUGGAAAUCAUAGAUCACUGCCCUGUAUAUAAUCGUUGUGUCCCAAAAUUAUUUAUUUUCUCUGUAUAUGAAUGUAAAAAAUAUCUUUAUGAACUGAAAAGAUAUGCUUGUCUGAACUGAUGUCAUGAAACAUGUCUGAACUUGUAGUAGUAUUUUAUAUACUAACCUGUAGUAGUAUUAUAUAUACUAACCUGUAGUAAUAUAAUAUAUACUAACCUGUAGUAUUAUUAU